CACGUAGGGGGCAAGCGUUGUCCGGAUUUAUUGGGCGUAAAGAGCUCGUAGGCGGCUUAGUAAGUCGGGUGUGAAACCUCCAGGCUCAACCUGGAGACGCCACCCGAUACUGCUGUGGCUAGAGUCCGGUAGGGGAGCGUGGAAUUCCUGGUGUAGCGGUGAAAUGCGCAGAUAUCAGGAGGAACACCAGCGGCGAAAGGCGGCGCUCUGGGCCGGUACUGACGCUGAGGAGCGAAAGCGUGGGGAGCAAACAGG
rnacentral:rRNA from 1 species